rnacentral:snRNA from 1 species
UGCUUUGUGCAGUGGCGGUAUUGUAGCCAAUGAGGCUUAUCCGAGGCAUGAUUAUUGCUAAUUUCAAG